rnacentral:rRNA from 1 species
AUACGGGGGGUGCAAGCGUUAAUCGGAAUUACUGGGCGUAAAGCGCGCGUAGGCGGUUUGCUCAGUCGGAUGUGAAAGCCCAGGGCUCAACCUUGGAACUGCAUACGAUACUGGCAAACUAGAGUGUGAGAGAGGAUAGUGGAAUUUCCGGUGUAGCGGCGAAAUGCGUAGAUAUCGGAAGGAACAUCAGUGGCGAAGGCGACUGUCUGGCUCAACACUGACGCUGAGGUGCGAAAGCGUGGGUAGCAAACAGGAUUAGAAACCCUAGUAGUCC